AGCAACUUGGCGCAGCGGAAGCGGUAAGAUCCUCCCAUCCCCCAAUCACCAAUCAUCAGCAUCUAAUAAAUUCUUCAGCGCCGGGCUCAUAACCCGGAGGUCCCUGGAUCGAAACCAGGAGUUGCUA
rnacentral:tRNA from 1 species